rnacentral:rRNA from 1 species
UCCCAGACUCCUACGGGAGGCAGCAGUGGGGGAUAUUGCACAAUGGGGGAAACCCUGAUGCAGCGACGCCGCGUGGGCGAAGAAGUAUUUCGGUAUGUAAAGCCCUAUCAGCAGGGAAGAAGAAAUGACGGUACCUGAGUAAGAAGCACCGGCUAAAUACGUGCCAGCAGCCGCGGUAAUACGUAUGGUGCAAGCGUUAUCCGGAUUUACUGGGUGUAAAGGGAGCGCAGGCGGCCUUGCAAGUCUGAUGUGAAAGGCCGGGGCCCAACCCCGGGACUGCAUUGGAAACUGCGAGGCUGGAGUGUCGGAGAGGCAGGCGGAAUUCCUAGUGUAGCGGUGAAAUGCGUAGAUAUUAGGAGGAACACCAGUGGCGAAGGCGGUCUGCUGGACAGCAACUGACGCUGAGGCGCGAAAGCGUGGGGAGCAAACAGGAUUAGAUACCCGUGUAA